rnacentral:lncRNA from 1 species
GCAUGCCGGGAGUGGCAGUGGCCCCCCGCGCCGCAGCCGGCAUCGCGGCGGGACCCGGAGCCCGGAGUUCGGGGGAGGAGAGAGGAGGACGCGAAUCACACCCGCUGCUGCGCGCCAGCCCGCCCCGUCUGUACAAUGGGAUGCUCGGGACUCGGACGGGAGGAUCCAGUGACUGCGAGCCCCGCAUUCGCCCGAUCCCAGCCUCACACCCCCAGCCAGCCCCCAGAGACCCUCCCACACUUACGAAGGAAAUGCAUGCGGCCAGGAGGAGAAUCCGCACCAGGAGCAGGGAGCUCUACCCAGGAAAAAGAAGAAAAGGACAGAUUCAUUUGGGGUUCAGCCUCAUGCCCCCCACACCCAAGACUUUGUGGCUAAGAGAAUCAGGCCACCUUGAGGUUCAUCAAGUUCAUCCCAUUAAAACCUCCCAAAACUCUGGA